rnacentral:rRNA from 1 species
UAACAGGAUUCCCCUAGUAACGGCGAGUGAAGCGGGAACAGCUCAAAUUUAAAAUCUGAUAGUCACAGACUGUCCGAGUUGUAAUCUAGAGAAGUGUUAUCGGUGCAAGGCCGUGUCCAAGUCCCUUGGAACAGGGCGUCAUAGAGGGUGAGAAUCCCGUCUACGACACGGAUGACUUGUACUUUGUGAUGCACUCUCGACGAGUCGAGUUGUUUGGGAAUGCAGCUCAAAAUGGGUGGUAAAUUCCAUCUAAAGCUAAAUACGGGCGAAAGACCGAUAGCGAACAAGUACCGUGAGGGAAAGAUGAAAAGCACUUUGGAAAGAGAGUUAAACAGUACGUGAAAUUGUUGAAAGGGAAACGCUUAAAGUCAGUCGCGUCUUCAGGGACUCAGUCAUGCUUUUUGCUUGAUGUACUUCCCUGGGUUGACGGGCCAGCAUCAGUUUUGACCGCUGGAAAAAGGCCUGAGGAAGGUGGCACCCUUCGGGGUGUGUUAUAGCCUCAGGUUGUAUACAGUGGUGGGGACUGAGGAUUGCAGCAUGCCUUUCAUGGCCGGGGUUCGCCCACGUAACAUGCUUAGGAUGCUGGCGUAAUGGCUUUAAACGACCCGUCUUGAAACACGGACCAAGGAGUCUAACAUGCC